rnacentral:rRNA from 1 species
GGGGUGCUCGAGUGGCGAACGGGUGAGUAACACGUGAGUAACCUGCCCUUGACUUUGGGAUAACUUCAGGAAACUGGGUCUAAUACCGGAUAGGAGCUCCUGCUGCAUGGUGGGGGUUGGAAAGUUUCGGCGGUUGGGGAUGGACUCGCGGCUUAUCAGCUUGUUGGUGGGGUAGUGGCUUACCAAGGCUUUGACGGGUAGCCGGCCUGAGAGGGUGACCGGCCACAUUGGGACUGAGAUACGGCCCAG